CCAUUUGGUUUGUUACUUUUUUUAACCAAAAAUUUGAUUUUUUUUUCUUCUUUUUGCGCUCAAAUUUGAGUGCUUUUGCU
rnacentral:ribozyme from 14 species